AUACGAAGGGUGCAAGCGUUACUCGGAAUUACUGGGCGUAAAGCGUGCGUAGGUGGUUGUUUAAGUCUGUCGUGAAAGCCCUGGGCUCAACCUGGGAACUGCGAUGGAAACUGGGCAACUAGAGUGUGGUAGAGGGUAGCGGAAUUCCUGGUGUAGCAGUGAAAUGCGUAGAUAUCAGGAGGAACAUCCAUGGCGAAGGCAGCUACCUGGGCCAACACUGACACUGAGGCACGAAAGCGUGGGGAGCAAACAGGAUUAGAUACCCUGGUAGUCCACGCCCUAAACGAUGCGAACUGGAUGUUGGGUGCACUUUGGCACGCAGUAUCGAAGCUAACGCGUUAAGUUCGCCGCCUGGGGAGUACGGUCGCAAGACUGAAACUCAAAUGAAUUGGCGGGG
rnacentral:rRNA from 1 species